rnacentral:lncRNA from 1 species
CAACACAACUGAGCUGAAAAGAUUGAAUACUAUCCUUGAAAUUAUUUCAUAUCAUAUACAUUGUUUUUUGAGAGCCAAAAUUAUUGAUUAAGUAGUUGUGUUCUUGAGCUGAUAUUGUUGUACUCAUAAUCCACUCUAUUGAGAGAGUUAUUGUAAAGUGAGUAGUGAGUGUUUCUUUGUGAGCACUUGUAACAAGAAGGAGUGUUGUAUUUCUUC